rnacentral:rRNA from 1 species
GAUUGAACGCUGGCGGCAGGCCUAACACAUGCAAGUCGAGCGGUAGCACAGAGAGCUUGCUCUCGGGUGACGAGCGGCGGACGGGUGAGUAAUGUCUGGGAAACUGCCUGAUGGAGGGGGAUAACUACUGGAAACGGUAGCUAAUACCGCAUAAUGUCGCAAGACCAAAGUGGGGGACCUUCGGGCCUCAUGCCAUCAGAUGCGCCCAGAUGGGAUUAGCUAGUAGGUGGGGUAACGGCUCACCUAGGCGACGAUCCCUAGCUGGUCUGAGAGGAUGACCAGCCACACUGGAACUGAGACACGGUCCAGACUCCUACGGGAGGCAGCAGUGGGGAAUAUUGCACAAUGGGCGCAAGCCUGAUGCAGCCAUGCCGCGUGUGUGAAGAAGGCCUUCGGGUUGUAAAGCACUUUCAGCGGGGAGGAAGGCGUUAAGGUUAAUAACCUUGGCGAUUGACGUUACCCGCAGAAGAAGCACCGGCUAACUCCGUGCCAGCAGCCGCGGUAAUACGGAGGGUGCAAGCGUUAAUCGGAAUUACUGGGCGUAAAGCGCACGCAGGCGGUCUGUCAAGUCGGAUGUGAAAUCCCCGGGCUCAACCUGGGAACUGCAUUCGAAACUGGCAGGCUAGAGUCUUGUAGAGGGGGGUAGAAUUCCAGGUGUAGCGGUGAAAUGCGUAGAGAUCUGGAGGAAUACCGGUGGCGAAGGCGGCCCCCUGGACAAAGACUGACGCUCAGGUGCGAAAGCGUGGGGAGCAAACAGGAUUAGAUACCCUGGUAGUCCACGCCGUAAACGAUGUCGAUUUGGAGGUUGUGCCCUUGAGGCGUGGCUUCCGGAGCUAACGCGUUAAAUCGACCGCCUGGGGAGUACGGCCGCAAGGUUAAAACUCAAAUGAAUUGACGGGGGCCCGCACAAGCGGUGGAGCAUGUGGUUUAAUUCGAUGCAACGCGAAGAACCUUACCUGGUCUUGACAUCCACAGAACUUUCCAGAGAUGGAUUGGUGCCUUCGGGAACUGUGAGACAGGUGCUGCAUGGCUGUCGUCAGCUCGUGUUGUGAAAUGUUGGGUUAAGUCCCGCAACGAGCGCAACCCUUAUCCUUUGUUGCCAGCGGUUCGGCCGGGAACUCAAAGGAGACUGCCAGUGAUAAACUGGAGGAAGGUGGGGAUGACGUCAAGUCAUCAUGGCCCUUACGACCAGGGCUACACACGUGCUACAAUGGCAUAUACAAAGAGAAGCGACCUCGCGAGAGCAAGCGGACCUCAUAAAGUAUGUCGUAGUCCGGAUUGGAGUCUGCAACUCGACUCCAUGAAGUCGGAAUCGCUAGUAAUCGUAGAUCAGAAUGCUACGGUGAAUACGUUCCCGGGCCUUGUACACACCGCCCGUCACACCAUGGGAGUGGGUUGCAAAAGAAGUAGGUAGCUUAACCUUCGGGAGGGCGCUUACCACUUUGUGAUUCAUGACUGGGGUGAAGUCGUAACAAGG